rnacentral:rRNA from 1 species
AGAAUCAACGCUGGCGGCGUGCCUAACACAUGCAAGUCGAACGAGAAAGUAGAGCAAUCCAUGAGUAAAGUGGCGACCGGGUGAGUAACACGUGACUAACCUACCUUCGAGUGGGGGAUAACCUCGGGAAACCGAGGCUAAUACCGCAUAACAUCGUGAGAUCAAAGCAGUAAUGCGCUGGAAGAGGGGUCGCGGCUGAUUAGCUAGUUGGCGGGGUAAUGGCCCACCAAGGCGAAGAUCGGUA